UACGUAGGGUGCGAGCGUUAAUCGGAAUUACUGGGCGUAAAGCGUGCGCAGGCGGUCUGUUAAGACAGAUGUGAAAUCCCCGGGCUUAACCUGGGAACUGCAUUUGUGACUGGCAGGCUAGAGUAUGGGCAGAGGGGGGGUAGAAUUCCACGUGUAGCAGUGAAAUGCGUAGAGAUGUGGAGGAAUACCGAUGGCGAAGGCAGCCCC
rnacentral:rRNA from 1 species